GGAAUACUUAAAUGAAACAACGAUUGUAGACUACUAUGAUUAUCUUCGUGUAAGCUGUUAUUACACAAAACUGCACGACUGAUGUGGCUGUAACCCUGUUGUGUUCGAGCACACAGGCCUGUAAGGGAUAGACUCAACCUUCGCAGCGGCCAGAGCCUGAAGAGGGAUUGGACAUUUUCUCAUUAAAUUGCGGAAAUUUUUCUACUCAAUGUCACUGGUUUGUUGAUGUGCAACAAGAGUUCCAGUGAAAUUUCUGCCGAUGGAAACAAACUAGUCAAGCUACUGUGAAUCAGCCUAUUGUCAUGACACAAGUGAGGACCUACCUAUUUCUUGAAACCUACCCACUGAAUCCCCAGGUGUGUUGGAAAGCAGUCGAGUAUUGGGAUCCGAUUGUCAUGACACAAGUGAGGACGCCAUCACAUGCCUCAGACAAGUAAUCCAGAGGAUGCUUGGAGACAGAAACAUGUACAACAGAACUGACCACUUUGUGGUUGACUUAGAGAGUGAUCCACACACUGGGAAGAUAAAACUACUGCACUUGUGUCACAAAUAAGCUACUAAGAAUUGUAUAAAAUGUGAAGUGCCACAGCACGUAUCAUGCUUUUGAAUUUGUACUUACAAAAUAAAUGUAUACAAUUUUGAAUACA